CAAGGAACGAAGCGGUACUUGUAACGACGCCAUCGCUGCCACAGGCCCCGCAGUAGGCGGCCCGGCAUGGCCGUCCCGCGGCGCUGUAACGAGGACAGCGCCGGAGAGGGUUGAUUCAUCUUGUUUCUGAUAAGUUUGGUCCUGUGAGAAAUGACUCCUGGCAGAAAAAUGAAGGAUAAAAGUGGAAAUGAGUACAUAACCACAGGAAAGCUGUUAGAGACAGAUGCCUGCAAAAAGCUGUCAUGUUGACCAUCCAAAUUGUCUUCUAUGCCCAGCUGGAUGGCCUCAGCGAUUUCCACCUCAUCUGCAAUAGCCAUCAGACGACGACGCAUCCUGGCUUGGGUAGAGAAAACAAUGGAGGAAAAAGACGUAAUGAAAUGUGAAGCAAAUCAAAUCUAAGCACCUAAUUUUUGAGACCAGUUACAAAUGACAGCAUGCGAUGGGAGGAGGAAGACAAAGGCUGGGCUGAGAGAGCUCCAAAUGGGUGUAAUGGCAGAGGCACAAGGGUGAGUCCAUGCUUCCUUACCACCUGAGACCGGCUAGAUGUGAAGAGGUACGGGGGAGACUCUCUUUCUCCUCACUCCUGGAGAUUCAGAUUUCACUGUGCGGCCCGCCGGGGAGCUGCCGGGAGAAGGACUGCGGCGGCCCUUGGGAGCUGGUGAAGCGGUGCUUGCCUGGCUUUCUCCUGGAGACUCAGCUGCCAAGCUGGAGAAGAUUCAUACUAUUCUUUUCUUCACACCCACGAACUUGGGAGAUCUACCAGGCCUAAUGUAAACUAGUUUCUGAGAACCACUCUUUACAGAGGGAGUUUAAGACCAAUAUGGUCCCAUUUCUCAUUUCUUCCUCUCCAAAAAAAACCCACGGAAGCUUCAAAAACUUUUAAUCCUGAGGCUUGUAUUCUUUUGAUAGUCACUGCUAAAAAUUCCAGUUUAUCCCCCACUUUGUUGUGUCCUUGAUACCUGAUGAAGAACCUUUAGAAACCUUUGAGAAAAAUGGGACAUAUGAGCAUCCUCUUCCUGAACUGUUGACCACAGAUUAGUAAGCAAGGAAAAGGAUACUAAUACUUUAUAGUAUCGGGUAAAUGUCUAUUUCCUUUUCAGAAUUCCCCUUUGUGCUACACGACAAAUCUAGGGUUGUGUCUAAAUGACAACCAAUGGAUAAGUAUAGGGGGCUUUUACAAUACGUUACAGAAGUAGACUGGAACUCCCUACACCACUACUGGGGACAGCUUCCCACAAAGCACUGUCUCCUGUCCUCAGUCUAAGAGCACUAGUACAUAGUCCAUGGCACAAAGCAGGUAUUGGGGGGUGCGGGGAGGGAUGGCUGUUCCUUAACCAUUUUGCUUUUCAUCAAAAAGAUCUCAAAUAAAUGUUAUAUGGAGGCUCUGGUGUAUGCUUUUCUUUGGAACUUUCUCCAAUAGGUGUGUUAACUACAUUUUUACUAAGUCAAUUA